UGGAAGAAGAGGACAGGAAGAAAAGAUCAGAAAAAAGAAGAAAAAAAAACAAGUGGUAUACACAAGUACAUGUGUUUUACGAGAAACUCGUGUCAAUAUGUGUUUCUUUUUACUUCGACAACGAUUAGACCGAACAAAGGAUGAGAUAAGAGAGGACGGGAAGAGAAUAUUAAAAAAAAAAAAAAAAGAGAGAGAAAGAUGAAAAAUAUUAGAAAAAGAAAAAGUGAAAAAGUGAGAGAUAAAUAAAAAGGAAGAAAGAAAAGGAGAGAGAAAGAGAGAGAAACAAACAAUUUCGAAAAAAAAAAAUUUAAAAAUACGUCGUCCUUCAACGAAAGAUACAAUAAGGAAAAGAUCGAAAAAAAAGAAGGAGAGAUAGAAGGACGACGAACAAAAUAAAAAAAUAACAUAAAGGGAGGGAAAGGAAGAGGACAAAAAAAAGGAGAAUAAAAAGGAGAAGAACAUGCACUUCAACCUGCUAUUAUUAGAUCAAACAAAAUGAUGAUAAUUUCCAAAGACAUGGUAGAGAAAAAAAGAGAAAGAAAAAGGGAGAGAGAGAGAAACAAACAAUUUCGAAAAAAAAAAAGUUUAAAAAUACGUCGUCCUUCAACGAAAGAUACAAUAAGGAAAAGAUCGAAAAAAAGAAGGAGAGAUAGAAGGACGACGAACAAAAUAAAAAAAUAACAUAAAGGGAGGAAAAGGAAGGGGACAAAAAAAAGGA